rnacentral:rRNA from 1 species
CCUACGGGCGGCAGCAGUGGGGAAUAUUGGACAAUGGGCGAAAGCCUGAUCCAGCCAUGCCGCGUGUGUGAAGAAGGCCUUCGGGUUGUAAAGCACUUUCAGUGGGGAAGAAAGCCUUGGGGCUAAUACCCUCGAGGAAGGACAUCACCCACAGAAGAAGCACCGGCUAACUCCGUGACAGCAGCCGCGGUAAUACGGAGGGUGCGAGCGUUAAUCGGAAUUACUGGGCGUAAAGCGCGCGUAGGCGGUCUGAUAAGCCGGUUGUGAAAGCCCCGGGCUCAACCUGGGAACGGCAUCCGGAACUGUCAGGCUAGAGUGCAGGAGAGGAAGGUAGAAUUCCCGGUGUAGCGGUGAAAUGCGUAGAGAUCGGGAGGAAUACCAGUGGCGAAGGCGGCCUUCUGGACUGACACUGACGCUGAGGUGCGAAAGCGUGGGUAGCAAACAGGAUUAGAUACCCCAGUAGUC